ANAGUUUGAUCAUGGCUCAGAACGAACGCUGGCGGCGUGCUUAACACAUGCAAGUCGAUCGCGAAAGCCACCUUCGGGUGGUGAGUAGAGAGGCAGACGGGUGAGUAACAAGUGGGUAAUCUGCCUUCAGGUGGGGGAUAACCAUUCGAAAGGAUGGCUAAUACCGCAUGAGACCACGACUCUUCGGAGUAGCGGUUAAAGACUUCGGUCGCCUGAUGAGGAGCCCGCUCCCGAUUAGCUAGUUGGUAAGGUAAUGGCUUACCAAGGCAACGAUCGGUAGCUGGUCUGAGAGGAUGAUCAGCCACACUGGUACUUAGACACGGACCAGACUCCUACGGGAGGCAGCAGUGGGGAAUAUUGCGCAAUGGGCGAAAGCCUGACGCAGCAACGCCGCGUGGGUGAUGAAGGCCUUAGGGUCGUAAAGCCUUGUCAGAUGGGAAGAAACCUACUUCGGUAGCUGACGGUACCAUCAAAGGAAGCACCGGCUAACUCCGUGCCAGCAGCCGCGGUAAUACGGAGGGUGCAAGCGUUGUUCGGAAUCACUGGGCGUAAAGGGCGCGUAGGCGGACCUACAAGUCUGAUGUGAAAGCCCGGGGCUCAACCCCGGAAGUGCAUUGGAAACUGUAGGUCUUGAGUUCGGGAGAGGAAGGCAGAAUUCCAGGUGUAGGGGUGAAAUCCGUAGAUAUCUGGAGGAAAACCAGUGGCGAAGGCGGCCUUCUGGAACGUAACUGACGCUGAGGCGCGAAAGCGUGGGGAGCAAACAGGAUUAGAGAC
rnacentral:rRNA from 1 species